rnacentral:rRNA from 1 species
ACCCCGCACAAGCGGUGGAUGAUGUGGAUUAAUUCGAUGCAACGCGAAGAACCUUACUACCCUUGACAUGUCCGGAACUUGCCAGAGAUGGCUUGGUGCCCGAAAGGGAACCGGAACACAGGUGCUGCAUGGCUGUCGUCAGCUCGUGUCGUGAGAUGUUGGGUUAAGUCCCGCAACGAGCGCAACCCUUAUCAUUAGUUGCUACGCAAGGGCACUCUAAUGAGACUGCCGGUGACAAACCGGAGGAAGGUGGGGAUGACGUCAAAUCAGCACGGCCCUUAUGUCCAGGGCUACACACGUGUUACAAUGGUCGGUACAGAGGGCAGCUACCUGGUGACAGGAUGCUAAUCUCGAAAACCGGUCUCAGUUCGGAUCGAAGUCUGCAACUCGACUUCGUGAAGCUGGAUUCGCUAGUAAUCGCGCAUCAGCUAUGGCGCGGUGAAUACGUUCCCGGGCCUU